rnacentral:rRNA from 1 species
AUUGAACGCUGGCGGCAGGCCUAACACAUGCAAGUCGAACGAGUGGCGGACGGGUGAGUAAUGUCUGUGAAACUGCCUGAUGGAGGGGGAUAACUACUGGAAACGGUAGCUAAACCCGCAUAGCAUCGCAUGUGCCCAGAUGGGAUUAGCUUGUAGGUGGGGUAAAGGCUCACCUAGGCGACGAUCCCUAGCUGGUCUGAGAGGAUGACCAGCAACACUGGAAUUGAGACAGGGUCCAGACUCUUACGGGAGGCAGCGGAGGGAAAUAUUGCACAAUGGGCGCAAGCCUGAGGAAGCAAUGCCGCGUGUAUGAGGAAGGCCUUCGGGUUGUAAAGUACUUUCAGAGGGGAGGCGUUACCUGCCCAGGAAGCACCGGCUAACUCCGUGCCAGCAGCCGCGGUAAUUC